rnacentral:tRNA from 1 species
GGUGUUAUGAUCAAGUGGUAUGAUACGUCGUUGUGGCUUCAAUAGUCCACGAAACAAUCCCGAUGCAGCCUGGGUUCGAUUCCCAGUAACGCCA